rnacentral:rRNA from 1 species
UGGGGAAUCUUGCGCAAUGGGCGAAAGCCUGACGCAGCAACGCCGCGUGGGGGAAGAAGGCCUUCGGGUUGUAAACCUCUGUCAGGAGGGACGAAGCCACCUGGGUUAAUAGCCUAAGGGGUGACGGUACCUCCAAAGGAAGCCCCGGCUAACUACGUGCCAGCAGCCGCGGUAAUACGUAGGGGGCGAGCGUUGUCCGGAUUUAUUGGGCGUAAAGAGCGUGUAGGCGGCCUGUCAAGUCCGAUGUGAAAUGUUACGGCUUAACCGUGAAUCUGCAUUGGAAACUGUCAGGCUAGAGUCUGGAUGAGGAGAAUAGAAUUCCUGGUGUAGCGGUGAAAUGCGCAGAUAUCAGGAGGAAUACCGGUGGCGAAGGCGGUUCUCUGGGACAGUACUGACGCUGAGACGCGAAAGCGUGGGGAGCAAACAGGAUUAGAUACCCUGGUAGUCCACGCCGUAAACGAUGAACACUAAGGUGUUGGGGGUGUUGGACUCCUCAGUGCCGUAGCUAACG